ensembl:lncRNA
GGCAGUUAUAAAUAAAUAAAUAGAGAGCGACCGUGUUCAUGGGUUGAAAAACUCAAUAUUGUUAAUAUGCUCACUUCUCCCAAGCUGAUACAUAGCUCUACUGUAAUUCCCAAUCAAAACCCUGGAAGGCCUUUAACAUAAACUGAUACUGCUUCUCCUCUUAUGGACAAGAAGAGACAUAACAGAUUUAUAAAGGACCAACGUUAGACUGGAAGACUUGCUCUACAGCUAAAGACACAUGGUGCAAGCAAAAAGCUGGAUAAAUAAGGGAAUGGGACAGAAAGCCAAGCCAGGUCUGCAUUUAUGUGGGCAAUUCAUUUGCAAGAAAGGUGCCCACCAAAUUAAGCAAGGGAAAGGCUUCCAUAUUGCUAGAACAACUAGAAAUUGAAAUUGGAAAAACUGAACCGUCGAGGAAGGGUAGGUAUGACCUGUUUGGAUUUGUGUUUUUUGUGUUGGUUUGGUCUGUUUGAGACAGGGUCUUAGUUCAGGCUGACCUUGAACUUGUGGAGAAGCUCCAGCCUCAGCCUCCCGAGUGCUGUGAUUAUAGGCAUGUGCCACCAAGCUUGGCUAUGAUUUAUGUUUUUUAAGAACUCUCUGGCCUGGCCUUCAUGAGGCCCUGGGUUCAAUCCUAGCUACCAGCAAAACAGUAAAAGCCUCUCUGGCUGUUGGAAGGGCAACUGGGGUGAGCAGGGAAAGCAGAGUGGGUCUGAGUGAGAAAUGAUCUGGGUCUAAAAGAAGGUGGGAGACUAGUAUGGGAGAGGGCGGUGGAGAGAAAGGGCAGAGCCUGGACAUAUCUAGAAGACAUGAACACCUGUGACGAUGGGACCGUGCCUCAGUUUCUCCACCUGGCCAGGCCCAGGUACCUCAGUGCUAUGAGGGACUCCACCUAUUAGGACCACGUACCUCGCAGGGAGCAGAGGAGCCCUGACCUGGCCAUGGGAAGGGGGCAGGGAGAAGGCCAAGGGUCACCCACAGUCCGGGAUCCGGUCUGCAGGGGGGUUCGGGCACGGGCCGGGGGAGCACUGAGCAUGCGCCUCUUGAGGGUGGGCUACUCAGCCAGGAGUGGGCCCUACGGCGCCAGGGUCCAGCCUGCUGCUCCAUGUGCAGAGCCCUUGUGGCUCCCCAGAAGCGGGUGACCUCACUGCCUCUCAUGUCACCAGUGCCUGUGCGUCAGGAGGGGACCGUCUCCUGGCCCGAGGCCAUUUCUGCAGCUUGGACUAAAGGUCCCUGAAGCCUGCAACCCUGGGUUGUGAACCUGUCAGCUCGAAGCUGGCCUGGAGUGCAGGGUUUGGGCCAGAGCUUUGGGCGCUGGUUUCUCCUCCUGUGGUGCUGCUUCAGGCUGUGCGGCCUUGGAAAGAUGCAUCCGAGGUCUCAGGCCUGCACCCUGGGGACAACUUCAUGUGGGGGAGUUGCAAAGAUGGACGCUUAGAAAGAGACCCCUGGGCACCCAGACCCGCGUGGCUCACCCAGCCUCCCCAGGGUUUGGGCGCCAGAGGUGAGGGGCUCACGGUGGCCUUGGAGCUGCAGCUUGAACUGCAGAGUGGAGGCCGGCGGCUCCUCUCCCUCCAGAAAGGACCCAGCUGCUCUUCCCGCUGAGGCUUCAGUUGCUAGGUGAAGGCGUAAGGGCUGCGACAGGCGCGGGCAGC